UACGGAGGGUGCAAGCGUUGUUCGGAAUGACUGGGCGUAAAGCGUGCGCAGGCGGUGGCUCAAGCCAGGCGUGAAAUCCCCGGGCUUAACCUGGGAAUGGCGUUUGGGACUGGGUCGCUAGAGUGUGGCAGAGGGAGGUGGAAUUCCACGUGUAGCAGUGAAAUGCGUAGAGAUGUGGAGGAACACCGAUGGCGAAGGCAGCCUCCUGGGCCAGCACUGACGCUCAUGCACGAAAGCGUGGGGAGCAAACAGG
rnacentral:rRNA from 1 species